rnacentral:rRNA from 1 species
UGAGGAAUAUUGCGCAAUGGGCGAAAGCCUGACGCAGCGACGCCGCGUGGAGGAUGAAGGUUUUCGGAUUGUAAACUCCUGUUAAGUGGGAAGAAACGACAAAAUAUAAUACAUUUUGUAACUGACGGUACCAUUAAAGAAAGCACCGGCUAACUUCGUGCCAGCAGCCGCGGUAAUACGAGGGGUGCAAGCGUUAUUCGGAAUUAUUGGGCGUAAAGGGUGCGUAGGCGGCGUAUUAAGUCAACUGUUAAAACCUCCAGCCUAACUGGAGAUCAGCAGUAGAUACUGGUAUGCUAGAGGAUGGAAGAGAGAAGUGGAAUUCUUGGAGUAGCGGUGGAAUGCGUAGAUCUCAAGAGGAACACCAAUGGCGAAGGCAGCUUCUUGGUCCAUAUCUGACGCUGAUGCACGAAAGCGUGGGGAGCAAACAGGAUUAGAUACCCUGGUAGUCCACGCCGUAAACGAUGAUCACUAGAUGUUAAUUCUGCUUGCAGAAUUAGUGUCGUAGCUAACGCGAUAAGUGAUCCGCCUGGGGACUACGGUCGCAAGA